GACGUAGGGCGCGAGCGUUGUCCGGAUUUAUUGGGCGUAAAGAGCUCGUAGGCGGCUUGUCGCGUCGGCUGUGAAAUCCCGUGGCUCAACUGCGGGUCUGCAGCCGAUACGGGCAGGCUAGAGUUCGGUAGGGGAGACCGGAAUUCCUGGUGUAGCGGUGAAAUGCGCAGAUAUCAGGAGGAACACCGGUGGCGAAGGCGGGUCUCUGGGCCGAUACUGACGCUGAGGAGCGAAAGUGUGGGGAGCGAACAGG
rnacentral:rRNA from 1 species